rnacentral:rRNA from 1 species
AUGGCGACGGGUGGAGUACCAUUUGACGCGCUAUCGUCACUGGACCCCGAGACCUUCGCCGGGGAGUCGCGCGCCGUGAUCAACUUCCUCGCGGACUACUACCGCGACGUCGAGACGUAUCAGGUCCAGCCCCAGGCCUUGCCAGGGUGCCUCCGUGCGCUUCUACCCGACGCGCCGCCCGAAAACGGUGAGCCGAUGGACGUGAUACUGGAGGAGGUACGCACUCACAUCGUCCCGGCACUGACCCACUGGCAGAGUCCCAAGUUCUUCGGCUACUUCCCCAUGAACGCGAGCACGGCCGGGUUCGCCGGCGAGAUGCUCUCCACCGGGCUCAACAUUGUGCCGUUCAUGCGGGUCGCGUCGCCGGCCGCCACCGAGCUCGAGAGCGCCGUGGUGGACUGGAUGGGCAAGCUGGUGGGCCUCCCGGAUCGCUUCCUCUUCUCCGGCGGUGGCGGCGGCGUCCUGCACGGGAGCACCUGCGAGGCCGUGGUGUGCACGCUCGCGGCCGCGCGCGAUCGCGCGCUGAGCAGGCUCGGCCACGAGGGCAUCCUGAGGCUGGUGGUGUACGCCUCGGACCAGAGCCACUGCACGUUCCAGAAGGGCGCGAGGAUCGUGGGGAUCCCUCGGUCCAACUUCCGCAUCAUCCCGACGACGGCGGCGUCGGGCUACGGCCUCACCGCGGCCAGCGUCCGCGACGCGGUGGAGGCCGACGUGGCCAGCGGGCUCGUGCCGCUGUACCUGUGCGCCACGGUCGGCACGACCGGGCUCGGCGCUGUCGACCCGGUGCGGGACCUCGGCGAGCUGGCGCAGAGGCACGGCAUAUGGCUGCACGUCGACGCCGCGUACGCCGGCAGCGCCCUGAUCUGCCCCGAGUUCCAGCAUCACAUCGACGGCGCCGAGCUCGCGGACUCGGUGAGCAUGAACCCGCACAAGUGGUUCCUCACCAACAUGGACUGCUGCUGCCUGUGGGUGGCGAGCCCCGCCGCGCUCACCUCCGCACUGUCGACCAACCCAGAGUACCUCAGCAACGUCACAGAAGAAAGUGCAGGCGCGGGCGUGGUCGACUACAAGGACUGGCAGAUCGCGCUGUCGCGGCCGUUCCGCGCCAUGAAGCUGUGGGUGGUCCUGCGCCGCUACGGCGGGGCGGGCAUGCGGGCGUACGUUCGGCGGCACGUUGAGAUGGCCAGGUGGUUCGAGCAGGCGCUGGAGGCCGACGGGCGGUUCGAGGUGGUAGCGCCGACGAGGUUCUCCCUCGUGACCUUCCGCCUCCGUCCAAGGCACGAGGGCGACGGCGAUGCCGUUGAUGGCUUGAACCGUAGGCUGCUCGUGGCGGUGAACGCCAGCGGGCGGGCGUUCAUGACGCAUUUCGUGGUGGACGGCAAGUUUGUUAUCCGUAUGGCCGUGGGCGGAGCCAUGACGGAGAUGCGGCACGUCCACGACACGUGGGAGCUUGUCCGGGAGAAGGCCGAGGAAGUCGGCGCACUCCAAAACGAACGGAACGUGCUGAAAUAA